rnacentral:rRNA from 1 species
AUACGAAGGGGGCUAGCGUUGUUCGGAUUUACUGGGCGUAAAGCGCACGUAGGCGGAUUGAUUAGUUAGGGGUGAAAUCCCGAGGCUCAACCUCGGAACUGCCUUUAAUACUGUCAAUCUCGAGACCGAAAGAGGUGAGUGGAACUCCUAGUGUAGAGGUGGAAUUCGUAGAUAUUAGGAAGAACACCAGUGGCGAAGGCGGCUCACUGGUCCGGUACUGACGCUGAGGUGCGAAAGCGUGGGGAGCGAACAGAAUUAGAAACCCCAGUAGUCC